UACGAAGGGGACUAGCGUUGUUCGGAAUCACUGGGCGUAAAGCGCACGUAGGCGGAUGUGUCAGUCAGGGGUGAAAUCCCGGGGCUCAACCUCGGAACUGCCUUUGAUACUGCAAAUCUCGAGUCCGGAAGAGGUGAGUGGAAUUCCUAGUGUAGAGGUGAAAUUCGUAGAUAUUAGGAAGAACACCAGUGGCGAAGGCGGCUCACUGGUCCGGUACUGACGCUGAGGUGCGAAAGCGUGGGGAGCAAACAGG
rnacentral:rRNA from 1 species